rnacentral:lncRNA from 1 species
GGGUGGACCUGAAGGAUGGGAGUGCAUCCAAGGGUGAACUUAUUUCUUUGAAAAGUGGCCUAAUGCUAGCUUCUGACCGAAUCCCUCCAAUGAGGCUGAGGUAUGGAUAUCCAGCUGGAGUGUCCUUGCUAUGAGGUUGAGGAGGAGAUCGUGAAGCACACUCUUUUCAGAUAUUUGAGGGUGAUAGCAGUCUGAUCCUUAGCUAGGUUAAAUUUGCAAGUUGCUCAGGUGGAGGACCCUACUCAGAUUUUUUUGGAGUUCUUGUAGCUCAGCAUCGGAGACAACCCGACCAGGUGAUAGGAUUUCAUGUGGCCUACUUGGCUCUUCACAUUUGGCUGACCAAGAACAGCAUGAUUUUCGAUUCUAAGUGAUCUUCGAUGAGGAUUAUUUUUGAGAGAGUCUUGAUUGUGGUAGUGGAGAUCAUCGAUGUGACAGUCAGAUUUUUGAAGAUCUGGAGCUUUAAUCCAUCCUGCUCAUGAAGUGACCCAUCGGUGUUCAUAUCCUGGGAGCCCCAUCAUUGCACUUGAAAGUCAACUUUGAUGGGAGUGUCAGAGGUAGGUAUGGUGGGGUUGGUUUUAUCAUAUGGGGGCUUGGUUCUAUAUUUGUGGUGGUUGGGGGGCACCAUCUCCUAGAAUCCUCAGUCUUGAAGGUGGAGUUCCGUGCUGCCUAGAUAGGGAUCAUCUUUGCCGGACCAAUUUUGAGGGUAACCCAGCUUGUUGUAGAGAGUGAUUCAACCAUAGUGGUAAUGUGACUACUGAGAUGUACUCAUUGCAGGGUCACCCAUCCUCUUUUACAUGAUGUCGCAAGAUUGCUGGGAGCAUGCAUUGCACUGAUCAUCUGACAUGUCUUCUGUGA